rnacentral:rRNA from 1 species
GACGAACGCUGGCGGCGUGCCUAAUACAUGCAAGUCGAGCGAGACUCUUCGGAGUCUAGCGGCGGACGGGUGAGUAACACGUGGGCAACCUGCCUGUAAGACUGGGAUAACACCGGGAAACCGGUGCUAAUACCGGAUAAUCCUUUUCCUCUCAUGAGGGAAAGCUGAAAGUCGGUUUCGGCUGACACUUACAGAUGGGCCCGCGGCGCAUUAGCUAGUUGGUGAGGUAACGGCUCACCAAGGCGACGAUGCGUAGCCGACCUGAGAGGGUGAUCGGCCACACUGGGACUGAGACACGGCCCAGACUCCUACGGGAGGCAGCAGUAGGGAAUCUUCCACAAUGGACGAAAGUCUGAUGGAGCAACGCCGCGUGAGCGAUGAAGGCCUUCGGGUCGUAAAGCUCUGUUGUUAGGGAAGAACAAGUACCGGAGUAACUGCCGGUACCUUGACGGUACCUAACCAGAAAGCCCCGGCUAACUUCGUGCCAGCCGCCGCGGUAAGAC